CCUUCGAUAGCUCAGUUGGAAGAGCGUGGGACUGUAAUUGGAUAACAAGAUCAUCCCAAGGUCACUGGUUCGAUCCCGGUUCGAAGGA
rnacentral:tRNA from 1 species